AGCAGAGUGGCAUAGCAGUUUGAGUGUUGGACUAUGACUCUGAAGACCUGGGUUUGAAUCUCUGCUCAGCCA